rnacentral:rRNA from 1 species
UACGUAGGGGGCAAGCGUUGUCCGGAUUUAUUGGGCGUAAAGAGCGUGUAGGCGGCUCGUUCAGUCCGCUGUGAAAGUCCAGGGCUCAACCCUGGAAAGCCGGUGGAUACUGUCGGGCUAGAGUACGGAAGAGGCGAGUGGAAUUCCUGGUGUAGCGGUGAAAUGCGCAGAUAUCAGGAGGAACACCAAUGGCGAAGGCAGCUCGCUGGGACGAUACUGACGCUGAGACGCGAAAGCGUGGGGAGCAAACAGG